rnacentral:rRNA from 1 species
GAUCCUGGCUCAGGACGAACGCUGGCGGCGUGCUUAACACAUGCAAGUCGAACGAAGCGGCAGUGAAGGAGGCUUCGGCCAAUGGAUCUGUCGACUUAGUGGCGGACGGGUGAGUAACGCGUGAGCAACCUGCCUUUCAGAGGGGGAUAACGUUUGGAAACGAACGCUAAUACCGCAUGACGUAUUUCCGCUGCAUGACGGAGAUACCAAAGGAGCAAUCCGCUGAGAGAUGGGCUCGCGUCCGAUUAGAUAGUUGGUGGGGUAACGGCCUACCAAGUCGACGAUCGGUAGCCGGACUGAGAGGUUGAACGGCCACAUUGGGACUGAGACACGGCCCAGACUCCUACGGGAGGCAGCAGUGGGGAAUAUUGCACAAUGGGCGAAAGCCUGAUGCAGCAACGCCGCGUGAGGGAAGACGGUUUUCGGAUUGUAAACCUUUGUCCUUGGUGAAGAUCAUGACGGUAGCCGAGGAGGAAGCCACGGCUAACUACGUGCC